rnacentral:lncRNA from 1 species
GCACCCGCACAAAUACACAAACAAGCAGCGAACAGCAGCAGCUCUGCAUUAUCUCCGAUUCUCCGCCACCAGUCCGCCUCCGGCCUCCGCCCUCCUGCGCCUCCGGCUCCUGCUGCUCCGGCUCCGCCGCCUCCGCCUCCGUCACUUCGUGAUUACAGAUUUACACAUCAAAUGGUUUUGAGGAGAGAGGAUGCGGUUUUGAUUCAAGUGUGAGUUAACUGGACAGCUAGAUGCCAAACAAUAAUUACAGAUGGAAAUUGAGGAAUUAAAAGGGAACUGCACGUGAUGAAACAUAUGGGUGAUGAAGAUACUAAGCUUCUAGGGUAAAAAUCUAGCCAUUCUAAACUACAAGUGCUUCCUGGAAGACUUUUGAGUUUGUCGCACCCACACAAGGAUAGAUUAAUAAGCUUAUGAAGAUUUCCAAUUGAUAAAGGUAGGUUUUCUAUAUCAUUUCCAAAAAAAAAAAUCAAUCUCUUGCAGAUUACUGUUACAGUGGCUCGGAAUUAGAUCUUGGACCUCCUUUAGAUGUAAUGACUUUACCCGAUCCGAACUGUCGAACCGACCCGAAUUUUUUUAUGUUCAAUCAUAUGAAAUUGAAGUAUCUAAAAAAGUGAACCCAGUGGAAAAAAUUCCUGGAUCCGCCACUGUACCCACAUAUGCAUACGCAUGUCAUAAGGAUAUUGCAAAGGAGAACUUUUCAUCAAGAACUUUCCUACCUUUUCAAGGGUUGUUUGAAGUAUCCUUCGUGAAUAAGGACAGGUUGUGUCAUACAUUUUAAUAAAAAAUAAAAAUAAGAGCAACCUUAACCUUGGAGGCACUUUUAAUAUUUUAUUAUUGAUGAUUAAUUGUUCUAUCUAAUAACCCGAAGAAAGAAAAGUUGCCUUUUUGUCAAAAGGUAAGUGUAACUUUAUUUCAUGGUCAUAAGUGUAAUUGUUCUGUUGAAACCCAACUUUUGUCAGAGGUUAAAUGUUAAUUUUUAAAUUAAAAAAUGACAUAGUAUAGAGUACACUUUAGUAAAAAAGUACAUUCUAAAAAAAAAGGAUGUGACUUUGUGAUGCACAGGUACAACUCUUGUAGCCUAUAGUACACACUUUUCUUAAAGUGAUGUGACUUUACUUUUUGAAAAAAAAAGAGCAAUGAUGUCUCACUCUUACCAAUGUAAAGUAAUAAUAUUUUACUAGUACCAAGUCCUUUCUUAGGGCCCUUCCCCUAGCCCCUUCCUCAGGCUCUUCAACCAAGGUCCUUCCCCAGGACCUUCCUCAGGUCCUUUCGCAGGGUCCUUCCUCAGGCCCUUCAACCAGGGUCCUUCCCCGGGUCCUUCCUCAGGUCCUUCCACCUGGCCUUUCCCCAGGUCCUUCCACAGGCCCUUCCACCUGACAUUUCCCCAGGUCCUUCCACAGGCCCUUCCACCUGGCCUUUCCCCAGGUCCUUCCACAGGGUCCUUCCCAGGAUCCUUCCUCAGGUCCUUCCACCUGGCCUUUCCCCAGGUCCUUCCACAGGGUCCUUCCCCGGGUCCUUCCUCAGGCCCUUCCACCUGGCCUUUCCUCAGGUCCUUUUGCAGGGUCCUUCCUUAGGCCUUUCCACCUGCCCUUCCUUUUCUAGCCCAUUCCUUCUCCAAAACAUUUACGCAAGGCCUUUCUCCGAAGUCUUGCAUCGUACACCAUUCUAGACAUAAAUUUAUUGUUCCCAUUACAACGUUGUUAGGGUACGUAGGCUGCCCCCUUAAUGAUAUGAUGGCAUCACGUCUUCACAAAAAGGCACAAGCACUUGUACACACAACACAACAUGUUUAAUACAUAAAUAAAUUGAUCUUUGGUAUGACUUACCUCUUUGAAAGUGUUUUCGUGGCAAGUAUCGAAGCAUGAACAUGAGCAACACAAAAAGUUAUUAGUUACGACCUACGGGAUAGGUCGACAAAGGCUAAUAUUGGACUGGAUGAUAUGUACCAGAGAAACAAGGCAUGAUCUUUGAAAAGACAUUGAAAAAUAGCGAUCACCUUAAACAUCCUUAAACAAGGAUAUAGCUUCGGGUAGGAGGAAAGUGACACAACAUUAGUAAAAACAAGAAAUACCUUUGUGCAACAUUAAACUGGGGGACUAGUAUGUCUAGGGGGAUAUUGUGGGACAGAGUUUUUGCUAACCUCGUGCUACUCUCAUUCAACAAAGAAUCAUCUGCCGGAUACAUCUAUCAGUUACGGGCUCAAGGAUAGCCUAUUCUAUAAGUUCAUUAUUACCAACUACGCUUGACAACACUGAACUGGGGAGCUAGCAUGGUAUAACACCAUUGGGUCCUACAUUGAAGACUUCUCGAAAGGAUCUUUAUUUUUGUAUUACCUCCUCCGAAAAGGAUUAAGCCCCUCCAUAAGUUCUCAUGUUCGAAGAUUUC